rnacentral:rRNA from 1 species
UACGUAGGGUGCGAGCGUUAAUCGGAAUUACUGGGCGUAAAGCGUGCGCAGGCGGUGAUGUAAGACAGUUGUGAAAUCCCCGGGCUCAACCUGGGAAUUGCAUCUGUGACUGCAUCGCUAGAGUACGGUAGAGGGGGAUGGAAUUCCGCGUGUAGCAGUGAAAUGCGUAGAUAUGCGGAGGAACACCGAUGGCGAAGGCAAUCCCCUGGACCUGGUACUGACGCUCAUGCACGAAAGCGUGGGGAGCAA